rnacentral:rRNA from 1 species
CCAAGGAGUCUAACAUGUGCGCGAGUCACUGGGCCCUACGAAACCCAAAGGCGGAAUGAAAGUGAAGGCGCCCGCUCGGGUGCUUGAGGUGGGAUCCCUGCCCUCGGGGCGGGGCGCACCACCGGCCCGUCUCGCCGGCCGCGUCCGGGAGGCGGAGCGUGAGCGUACACGUUGGGACCCGAAAGAUGGUGAACUAUGCCUGAGCAGGGCGAAGCCAGAGGAAACUCUGGUGGAGGUCCGUAGCGAUUCUGACGUGCAAAUCGAUCGUCAAACUUGG